GCUGCCAAAUCUAAUACCAAAAUAUUAAAAAGCUAUUAUUGUCUAAAAAUUAGGAUCAAAACAUAGCAAAGAUCUGCCCUAAUCUCCGCCUAGCUUUAGCGCCUGUUUCCAUCAAAACACAGUAAACCCUCUGUUUAUCUGUAUUUUCUCAAAACACAAAUUGUGAAUCUGGUCGUGUGUGAAUUCAACUCUGCCCUAGUUUUCAUCUCGCUCGUUUGAGAAUUCAAGGAUAAAUUUGAGAGUGUUGACAUGAAUGAUUAUCGUGAUCAUAUCUUCGGAUGGAUGAAAGAGUUAUGGAACAAGAGGACACUUGCAUGAAAAAUAUGUGAAGGAUAAGCCAAUCCAACAGGCUCUUAAGAAUAUUCCAAAGGGAGUAGACAAGAAAGAAGGAGAGUGGUUAAUAAAGGAACAUUUCUCUUCAGAAAGUUUUCAGGCGAGAAGCAACAUGAAUGCGGCAAAUCGAGCUAAGUUGAAGAUGCUUCAUCACAUUGGUAGCAAGCCUAUUCGAGAGAUUAUUUAUCAAAAGGGCGGAAAAGAUGGCAAUCCACCAGAUUUGGCAACAAUUUUCUUCGAGACCCGUAAGAAAGAUAACAAGCUUGUUGAACCUGAAGCAAUUGAAAAACAUGCUCAAAUCAAAGAAUAAUUCAAUCAGAUCCAUCUCUACCUAGCAUAAAGAUUAUAGAAAAAUAUUGUGGACCUCAAACUCGUAGCCAUGUAUUUGGCUUUGGGGGUGGAGUAAAGGCGAAAGACUUGAAAAGUGGAACUUCUUCAAAUGCUGAAUUACUGUCCGCGCUACGUUCAACUCGAGAAGAAAACAAAUCUUUGAAUGAGGAAAACAAAUCCUUGCAGGAGCGCUUGUCUACCUUAGAAGAUGACAUGAAAGAAAUGAAGAAAAUGAAAGAGUUCUUCGCUGC